GAUGAACGCUGGCGGCGUGCUUAACACAUGCAAGUCGAACGAGAAAAGAAGAUGGAAACCUUCGGGCGGAAGGCUUCAUUUCGAGUGGCGGACGGGUGAGUAACGCGUGGGUAACCUGCCUCAUACAGGGGGAUAACAGUUGGAAACGACUGUUAAUACCGCAUAAGACCACAGCACCGCAUGGUGCGGGGGUAAAAACUCCGGUGGUAUGAGAUGGACCCGCGUUCGAUUAGCCAGUUGGCGGGGUAACGGCCCACCAAAGCGACGACUCGAUAGCCGAUCUGAGAGGAUGACCGGCCACAUCGGGACUGAUGACACGGCCCAUAACUCCUACGGGAGGCAGCAGUGGGGAAUAUUGCACAUAUGGGGGAAACCCUGAUGCAUGCGACGCCGCUGU
rnacentral:rRNA from 1 species